UAGCAAUUUCUACCACUCUAAACUAUAUGAUCAUAUGAAGAGGAGAAACUUCAAGGUAGAAAUAUUGCACUAAAUACUGAUAAUAUUUAG
rnacentral:ncRNA from 1 species